GCAAGAGGCUGGAAAUCAGUGGAACUUGGAAGAAAAGGGAGAGACCAGGAGAUGCCACCAUGUGCCUUGCCAUGUCACAGAGGAGCCAAAGAUUGCUGACAGCUGGGCCCAGAACGUUGGUCUUCAGGAAGAAAACAUUGCCUUGAUGACACCUUGGUUUGGACUUUCUUUCAGCCUCAAAACUAAAAGGAAAUUGAGGCUGAGAAAGAGUCAGCAUCCUGUCCAACAUGGCUUGUAUAUUGAAGAUCAAGUUUAAUCCCAAAGAAAAUUGUGUUUUGUUCAUUAUUCUUCUGAAAGAAAAGAGCAGUUGUGGAAGAAAUUACCGAGAGUCACUCAUUGACUGCCAGCAUGUGAAGUAUCCACGCUGAAGAGUUGGUUGUGGAGGUGCUGGUGGAGGACGGUGGAGAUAGCAGAAGAGGAAAGCCCGGUUAAAGAGCUAGCGUUACCAAGGUGUCUGCUAGCACAUCUGCUUCGUGGCAAAAGCCAUGCAUCAGUUGCACUUGUUUGUUCCCCUGGUGAUGACAUUACAAGCUUGUUUAUGGAUGCUCUCUAAGCAGAAGGUUGAAUUUAGAUAUGGUAUAGUUUAUUCUGUUCUAAUGGGAUGAAAUAUUGUUUGGAUGCUGGAUUCAGAAUGAUUACUGCAGCAUGGAUUGACUUUCAGCUAUUCUUUGGCAUUUGUUUUUGAACAGGAGAUGCAAGUUUUCAACGUUUCAGUGGUUAUGUUUCUGGUAGGCCAUUGUAGAAUAAGCACGAGUUUCUUCUGUUGUGCACAUUUAAAACCAAAGAUACUCAUGUAAAAGCAACCCACAUCUCUCAGUCAGUAUGCAUAUACUAUUUCAAAGGAAGAGUUUUUAACGCAAUUAAUGUUGUAAUUGUUAGCAAUCCUAGCAGGGUGUCACAAAGAUAAAUGAGGUCACGUUGAUAAACUGCAUUGAAACCUUUGGGUGAAAAUUACUGUGGAAGGUAUGUCCCAUGCAUGCAUAAAGAAAUUAAUUUCUCUUUCUAGUAGAAACAAUACUGCUAAUUAUUAAAAGGUGUGUCUUAUCAGGGAGCCUUAUGAGAGAAGAAUGUAAGUCCCUAAGCGCAGAUCAAUUCCGAUGAAAUUACAUAGAUUAUUCAGGAAGAAAAAGAAUGUGAUGUUGCCUCAAGUAACCGAAAAUGGAAAGCAAUGUGGUG